rnacentral:rRNA from 1 species
UAGGGAAUCUUCGGCAAUGGACGGAAGUCUGACCGAGCAACGCCGCGUGAGUGAAGAAGGUUUUCGGAUCGUAAAGCUCUGUUGUAAGAGAAGAACGAGUGUGAGAGUGGAAAGUUCACACUGUGACGGUAUCUUACCAGAAAGGGACGGCUAACUACGUGCCAGCAGCCGCGGUAAUACGUAGGUCCCGAGCGUUGUCCGGAUUUAUUGGGCGUAAAGCGAGCGCAGGCGGUUAGACAAGUCUGAAGUUAAAGGCUGUGGCUUAACCAUAGUAGGCUUUGGAAACUGUUUAACUUGAGUGCAAGAGGGGAGAGUGGAAUUCCAUGUGUAGCGGUGAAAUGCGUAGAUAUAUGGAGGAACACCGGUGGCGAAAGCGGCUCUCUGGCUUGUAACUGACGCUGAGGCUCGAAAGCGUGGGGAGCAAACAGGAUUAGAUACCCUGGUAGUCCACGCUGUAAACGAUGAGUGCUAGGUGUUAGACCCUUUCCGGGGUUUAGUGCCGUAGCUAACGCAUUAAGCACUCCGCCUGGGGAGUACGACCGCAAGGUUG